rnacentral:tRNA from 1 species
GGCCGCCUGGCGAAAUGGCAUCGCGUCUGACUACGAUAGUCACGUUGAAAAAUUAUAUGGACGUAAUCAGGAGAUUGCAGGUUCGACCCCUGCGGUGGUCA